UGCAAGUCGAGCGGUAGCACAGAGAGCUUGCUCUCGGGUGACGAGCGGCGGACGGGUGAGUAAUGUCUGGGAAACUGCCUGAUGGAGGGGGAUAACUACUGGAAACGGUAGCUAAUACCGCAUAAUGUCGCAAGACCAAAGUGGGGGACCUUCGGGCCUCAUGCCAUCAGAUGUGCCCAGAUGGGAUUAGCUAGUAGGUGGGGUAACGGCUCACCUAGGCGACGAUCCCUAGCUGGUCUGAGAGGAUGACCAGCCACACUGGAACUGAGACACGGUCCAGACUCCUACGGGAGGCAGCAGUGGGGAAUAUUGCACAAUGGGCGCAAGCCUGAUGCAGCCAUGCCGCGUGUGUGAAGAAGGCCUUCGGGUUGUAAAGCACUUUCAGCGGGGAGGAAGGCGAUAAGGUUAAUAACCUUGGCGAUUGACGUUACCCGCAGAAGAAGCACCGGCUAACUCCGUGCCAGCAGCCCGCGGUAAA
rnacentral:rRNA from 1 species